UACGAAGGGGGCUAGCGUUGCUCGGAAUCACUGGGCGUAAAGGGUGCGUAGGCGGGUCUUUAAGUCAGGGGUGAAAUCCUGGAGCUCAACUCCAGAACUGCCUUUGAUACUGAAGAUCUUGAGUGCGGGAGAGGUGAGUGGAACUGCGAGUGUAGAGGUGAAAUUCGUAGAUAUUCGCAAGAACACCAGUGGCGAAGGCGGACUCACUGGCCCGAUACUGACGCUGAGGCACGAAAGCGUGGGGAGCAAACAGG
rnacentral:rRNA from 1 species